rnacentral:misc_RNA from 1 species
GAUGAAGAACGCAGUGAAAUGCGAUAAGUAGUGUGAAUUGCAGAAUUCAGUGAAUCAUCGAAUAUUUGAACGCACAUUGCGCCCUUUGGUAUUCCAAAGGGCAUGCCUGUUCGAGCGUCAUUUGUACCCUCAAGCUUUGCUUGGUGUUGGGCGUCUUGUCUCUAGCUUUGCUGGAGACUCGCCUUAAAGUAAUUGGCAGCCGGCCUACUGGUUUCGGAGCGCAGCACAAGUCGCACUCUCUAUCAGCAAAGGUCUAGCAUCCAUUAAGCCUUUUUUUCAACUUUUGACCUCGGAUCAGGUAGGGAUACCCGCUGAACUUAAGCAUAUCAAUAAGCGGAGGA